GACGAACGCUGGCGGCGUGCUUAACACAUGCAAGUCGAACGAAGUGGCGAACGGGUGAGUAACGCGUAAUCAACCUGCCCUUCCGAGGGGGACAACAGUUGGAAACGACUGCUAAUACCGCAUACUGAAGGAGGGUCUUGCGUAUGAUUAGCUAGUUGGAGGGGUAACGGCCCACCAAGGAGAUGAUCAGUAGCCGGUCUGAGAGGAUGAACGGCCACAUUGGGACUGAGACACGGCCCAGACUCCGAUGGGAGGCAGCAGUUGGGAAUCUACCGCAAUGGACGAAAGUCUGACGGAGCAACGCCGGGUGAGUGAUGACGGCCUUCGGGUUGUAAAGCUCUGUUAAUCGGGACGCGGUACCGGAAUAGAAAGCCACGGCUAACUACGGGCCAGCAGCCGCGGUAAUUC
rnacentral:rRNA from 1 species